rnacentral:rRNA from 1 species
AUUGAACGCUGGCGGCAGGCCUAACACAUGCAAGUCGAGCGGAUGAAGGGAGCUUGCUCCUGGAUUCAGCGGCGGACGGGUGAGUAAUGCCUAGGAAUCUGCCUGGUAGUGGGGGAUAACGUCCGGAAACGGGCGCUAAUACCGCAUACGUCCUGAGGGAGAAAGUGGGGGAUCUUCGGACCUCACGCUAUCAGAUGAGCCUAGGUCGGAUUAGCUAGUUGGUGGGGUAAAGGCCUACCAAGGCGACGAUCCGUAACUGGUCUGAGAGGAUGAUCAGUCACACUGGAACUGAGACACGGUCCAGACUCCUACGGGAGGCAGCAGCGGGGAAUAUUGGACAAUGGGCGAAAGCCUGAUCCAGCCAUGCCGCGUGUGUGAAGAAGGUCUUCGGAUUGUAAAGCACUUUAAGUUGGGAGGAAGGGCAGUAAGUUAAUACCUUGCUGUUUUGACGUUACCAACAGAGUAAGCACCGGCUAACUUCGUG